GAUGAACGCUGGCGGCGUGCCUAAUACAUGCAAGUCGAGCGAACAUACCAGGAGCUUGCUCCUCUGACAUUAGCGGCGAGCGGGUGCGUAACACGUGGAUAACCGACCUAUAAGACUGGGAUAACUUCGGGAAACCGUAGCUAAUACCGGAUAAUAUCUUAAAACACAUUAUUCAAUAGUGAAAGACGGUUUUGCUCUCACUUAUAGAUGGAUCCGCGCCGCAUUAGCUAGUUGGUAAGGUAACGGCUUACCAAGGCGACGAUGCGUAGCCGACCUGAGAGGGUGAUCGGCCACACUGGAACUGAGACACGGUCCAGACUCCUACGGGAGGCAGCAGUAGGGAAUCUUCGGCAAUGGGCGAAAGCCUGACGGAGCAACGCCGCGUGAGUGAUGAAGGUCUUCGGAUCGUAAAACUCUGUUAUUAGGGAAGAACAAAUGUGUAAGUAACUAUGCACGUCUUGACGGUACCUAAUCAGAAAGCCACGGCUAACUACGUG
rnacentral:rRNA from 1 species